GAUGAACGCUGGCGGCGUGCUUAACACAUGCAAGUCGAACGAGAAGUGGAGACGGAAACCUUCGGGCGGAAGACUUUAUUUCGAGUGGCGGACGGGUGAGUAACGCGUGGGUAACCUGCCUCAUACAGGGGGAUAACAGUUGGAAACGACUGUUAAUACCGCAUAAGACCACAGCACCGCAUGGUGCGGGGGUAAAAAGUCCGGUGGUAUGAGAUGGACCCGCGUUCGAUUAGCCGGUUGGCGGGGUAACGGCCCACCAAAGCGACGAUCCAGAGCCGAUCUGAGAGGAUGACCGGCCACAAUGGGACUGAGACACGGACCAAACUCCUACGGGAGGCAGCAGUGGGGAAUAUUGCACAAUGGGGGAAACCCUGAUGCAGCGACGCCGCGUGAGUGAAGAAGUAUUUCGGUAUGUAAAGUUCUAUCAGCAGGGAAGAAAAUGACGGUACCUGAGUAAGAAGCCCCGGCUAACUACGUG
rnacentral:rRNA from 1 species